AUAGACACCUGUAUUGUACUUGAAUUUCAUUCCUUUCUUUUCUAGACACGUGUCUAUCUUUUUAUUUUCGUUUUCAACUCUCAUUCUUGGUCAGUCUCUUUCCUCCUCUCACUUGCGUCUUCUUCUUCUCUAUGCAAACUUCAAGCUAUUUUUUGCAGGGAAAACUCUAAGAGACCAACUCUUCUUGAGUUGGUUCAUCAAGUUGGGUCAUGGGUGUCAUGUCUUUCACAUGCUAGAGAUGUUGCCGACUACUAUCAACAAGCUUCUGUUCUUGCUCCCAAGCCUCAAGGGUGUUUGUGUUCAAGCUGUAGUUGUAGUGGUAUUCCCCUACGGGAACAAAGAAAUUUCAAGAUUAAAACUUGUCAUUAGGAUUGUUUCCCCAUGUUUUCAUUUGUAAGACUUGCCAUCAGCUGACAUGAUUCAACAAUAACUAACUCAGUUACCUCAGUGGAUUCAACAGGUGAUGCGUUAGAUGCACUGAACACUCAUGGACGUUGUAUAGAUAUCAUACUUGUUGAAGCCUCCCUUCUUAUUUUCAAAGAAUUUUUAAUUUCACCAUGCCGGACAUCAAUUUAAAACACAAUGUUCAGUAAGCUCCUUUCCAUUUCAUUUUUCUACUCGAAAUAGUAGAAAUCACAUACAAGGUAUCCCUUUUUUUGCCUAAUGUAUCUUUUCUUUUCUUCUAUGAUUCUGUUGUGGAUGUGAAAAUCAUCACUGGUUGUCUAUAGUCUUAGAUGUUCUUGUUCUUGAUAAUUUUGUGAAGGUAUCGAUUAUAUAUGGAUUUGACCUAAAACACUCUCAUGUUGUCUUCCAUUGUAAGUGUAUCUUUCUAAUCGGAAAGAAAAAUAAACGUACUUAGUGAAAUUGAGGGAGUGCUUACCAUGUAUAAUGGAUAUGAUACAUCAUUUGAAUCCUCAUCUUAUUAGUACAAUUAGAAAAUUAUUUGGCUAAUGAAAAAAGUCUGAGAAAGCUAGACUUGAGUUCAACAUAAUGUUCAUUGUCACACCAGAUACUUAAAAUUUUGAGUUACUGUAUUACAAGUCUGAGAAAGCUAGACUUGAGUUCAACAUAAUGUUCAUUGUCGCACCAGAUAUUUAAAAUUUUGAGUUGGUAUAUUACAAGUCUGAGAAAGGUAGACUUGAGUUCAAUAUAAUGUUCAUUGUCGCACCAGAUACUUACAAUUUUGAGUUGGUGUAUUACAAAUUUGAAUAGCAACACCAUGGUAGUAAAUUGCCAAUGAAAUAUUAUUGCAGAGAACUGCAUUGUUUGUAGCUAAAUAUUGAAUGCCCAUCUUCAGGGAGUUCUGAAAGUGUUGAGAUGAAAAUCUAGAAAAACAAUUUGAUACUUUGUUAUUUUAGCAUCACAACAUCCCAACUGUAGGAGGACUAAUGCAAGGCAUGUAAUGUGGGCAUUCAAAAUUAGAUUCCCUCGGACAAGAUUUUCCUGAAUUGGCUCCGUGUGAGUUUUUCUUGAACAAGUAUCCUAGGAAUUUUUUUGUGUGCAAUGCGGGAAGGGUGUACACAAUGAUUGAUAAAAGGUAUCUAUGGAUUAGGAAACCCAGCUUACAGUAUUUGAUUUACCCAUGUGAUGAUAUUAAUGAGUUGGAAAGAUUAAAUAGGGAACUGAUUUUAAAGUAAAUUGAUAUCUUGAUUCUUUAGUUGACAUGUAUAGUUUCUAUUAUAUUUCAAUUGAAAACACAGGUCAAAAACUCUCGAACUCUAUAAUGUACAAUUGUGGAACUCUUAUCAUAUUGAGUUGCUCUUGAAGGAUUUAUUGAUAUUGCCUUGAUUGGAGAAGAUGUUGAGAACAACUUCAGCGGCAUGUGUUAGACUUAAUUUUUGUUUCAACUUGAAAUUCUUUUUAUGGAGCCAAGAGUCUCCUGUUAAUUUAUUUAUUCUUUUUCACUGAACUUUACUUCUGCCCCCAAUUUAAGUGGUCUCUUUAGUUUGUGUACAGAACGGAUAACGUUUUGAGAUGAACACUUUCAAGUAAACAAGUGGUGCUUGAAGUUAAUUUUUGAGAAGCAAAUUUUGAAAAAAGAAAUCUUUUUAAUGGGUCUUCAAUUUCUUCAAAUGCUUACAACAAGUGAUUACUAACCUUGGUUGCGCAAGUGAAUAUUUUACUCAUAUGUUCAUAAUCAGAUUAGUUACUAUUUAUUCUGCUCCUUGUGAUUUGUUUGAUGAGUGAUGAUAAUUUUCUUCAAAUUUGAUAUUUAUGUCUUUGAGCGUAUUUUAACUGCAGAUAUAAUUGUUGCUCUGUUAAAUGAAGUGAACAAGCAGGAAUAAUUCUUGGUGGGGGGCAAGCUGACACUUGCCAAUUCUGACAAAUUCGAAACACGCAGCACUGUAAGUUUGUGACAAAUCCAACAAGUUAAAGUAUAUUUCAUAAUUGAAAACACUUCCUUCUGCUGUGCACCUAUGAUAAUUAACGAUAUGUUCACUCUUUUUGGUUUUCCGCGAGAAAUGAGCCAACUGGAUGGACAAUGUAAA